rnacentral:tRNA from 1 species
GAGGAUGUGGCUCAGUGGUAGAGUGCUUGCCUAGCAUGCAAGAGGCCCUGGGUUCAAUCCUCAGCACCUCA